UACGAAGGGGGCUAGCGUUGCUCGGAAUGACUGGGCGUAAAGGGCGCGUAGGCGGCUUUGCAAGUGACGGGUGAAAUCCCUCGGCUUAACCGAGGAACUGCCUGUCAAACUGCAUGGCUUGAGACCAGGAGAGGUGAGUGGAAUUCCCAGUGUAGCGGUGAAAUGCGUAGAUAUUGGGAGGAACACCAGUGGCGAAGGCGGCUCACUGGACUGGUACUGACGCUGAGGCGCGAAAGCGUGGGGAGCAAACAGG
rnacentral:rRNA from 1 species